rnacentral:ribozyme from 1 species
UGCCCAGCAACUCAUAUCCCUACCUACUCGCGGUACUGGCAGGGGUACGUGCAAUUUUAGGGAAGG